UUCAUACAAAAUCUUGGCUCACCGCAACCUCUGCCUCCUGGGUUCAAGCGAUUCUUCUGCCUCAGCCUCCUGAGUAGCUGGGAUUACAGGUGCCUGCCACUGUGGCUGGCUAGUUUUUAUAUUAUUAGUAGAGACGGAGUCGUGUCAGGCCUGCAUAAGUUUGUCUGUUGUGGUUUUGUAAAAAUUAAUUGUGAAAUACACAUCACAAAAUUCACCGUGAGUACCAGGGAACAAAAGCACAGGCCGGGCGCGGUGGCUCACGCCUGUAAUCCCAGCACUUUGGGAGGCCAAGGCGGGUGGAUCACCUGAGGUCAGGAGUUCUUGACCAGCCUGACCAACAUGGAGAAACCCUGUCUCUACUAAAAAUACAAAAAUUAGCCAGGUGCAACUCAGUGGAGGUGGCCUAUCUCAGGUGUCUCCAGCAUUGAUGACUCAGCGGAGGUGG
rnacentral:lncRNA from 10 species